UAAUGUAGUAUAUUAAAUGAAAACAUUAAUAAAUGAAAUCCUAGAAGGUUUAAUCAUAAAAAAAAACUUAAUGUUUCCAAUGUUUAUCCUCGUUUUAAAAAAAAAUAAAUUAAAAAAGAAAAUGGAAACCCAAUCUGCUUCACAGAGAAACGCUCUCAAUCGCUCUUCUUCUCUCAGUCUCUCAUUCGCCGUUCCCCAUCUUCUCCCUCUCAAUCGCUCCUCUCCACCUGCGUUUCACUCUCUCUCCGCCUCAAACUCUC
rnacentral:lncRNA from 1 species